AUAUUAAAAAAAAAAAAAAAAAGAAUGUGUAGGCUAAUUUGUAAGGGAGGUAAAUUGACCAUUUAAAAUAUUAGAGCUGCCUUCACAGUUGAGGAUGGCCUGGGGACUCUGAGACUCCCACGAACUUGGCUAAUUAAUCAUUUCCGAAAGCGCUUUCUCCCCAGUGAGCAGAACCUGGGAAGGGUCUCCGGGGAUGGCAGUGAUGGUGUCCCUUCACUCUGGUCCUUGGGGCCAGCUCUGGGAAGGGGCGGGGAUGGGACCCGGGCCAGGGUGCUGCCCCUGAGCACACUUGAACCUGCCCCAUGGAGGCUCUGAGUGCAGUCCCUGUGGGUGGGGAAGUGUAUUCUCCGGGAGGGAACAGCCACCGCCAGGCCUCUGUCCCCUCUGCCCAGUGAAACUGGGCACAGAGCCCUCCUGCAGGCGCUGCUCCAACGCAGGUGUUGCCCUGGGUGCCCUCUGGUGGACGAUGGAAGCACCUGGGUAACGUCCACCCAUCCCUUCCUAAAGCAGUCGCCUGCCUCUUCCAGGGCUGUAUCUGUCUUCCAGAGUCUGGAGGCGGAGGGAGGAGCCACAGUCAGGGGCCCUGUGACACUCACUCGAGGUGUCCCCACUGCCCGGCCCUCUGCCCCUAGCCUGUUCCCUGGGCCAGUGGUCAGGGCCUGGGCACCGGCCUCUGUGCUGGGAGUCACCUGCGAUCCCCGGGAGUCCCACCCCCGGAGUGAGGGGGGCCUGGUGCUGACGUGCCCAAGUCGCAGGACCUGGGCAGAGUCGGGCCAGCCUGGACCUCCUGAUCUGUGGCGGGCACCACGACUGUGCACCCUGCCGCGUGAACGUGACAGGAGUCAAAAGGCUCCAGGGAGAAGGUGCUAGAUGUUUGUGCCGCGAAGGCUCCUGAAACGUGGUCCCGGUCCCGAGCAGAUGGGCGAUUGCACCGGGGCUGCUCGGGGUUCUUUUUGUUGCAGGGGUGGAGGAUGGGCAGUGGGCCCUGGGAUGGGGUGAGGGUGGAGUCCCGUGGAGCUGGGGGCGGGUGUGGUUUCCUGGGUUCAGACUCUCAUUCAGCUGUAACAGUGCACAGCCCAGCCCCUGCUGGGCCUCAGGUUCCUUGUUUUAAGGAAGAUGACGUCGUCGUCGUCAUCGUCGUCGUCGCUGCGCUUGUGGUUAGACCUGAUCACCUGGCACAGGAAGGCACGUGACCUUGCAAGUGACGGUCUCAGCCUUUUGAUUGGACCCUUGACUGGAAGUGAUGAGUGGAUUCUGAAGGGGAGGAGAUUCUAAACCACAGGAAACCACCUGGAGUCCAGGGUCGUGUGAAGAGGCAGAGGGAGCUGCGCUCACGGGGGCGGAGUGGUGGUGACUGAGACAGGAGGUGGCCCCAAGUCGCUUGAGGAAGGUGGACAUGUGUUUGCAGUUGUGUCCACUUUAAUGUGUCUUUUCGCGUCCUUAGAGUCUUUGGAAGUUGAACACGUGUGUCAGACACAGAUGCUGGACGAGAACCACCACCUGAUCCAGUGCAUCCUGGACUAUCAGAGCAAGGGCAAGACGGCCGAGUGCACCCAGUACCAGCAGAUCCUGCACCGGAACCUGGUCUACCUGGCCACGAUCGCGGAUUCUAACCAGAACAUGCAGUCCCUGCUGCCCGCCCCGCCAACCCAGAGCCUGGCGCUGGGCCCCGGAGGGCUGUCCCAGAGCGGCUCGGGCCAGGGCCUGCACUCGCAGGGCAGCCUCAGCGACGCCAUCGGCGCGGGCCUGCCACCAUCCUCCCUCAUGCAGGCCCAGAUCGGCAACGGUCCGAACCACGUGACCCUGCAGCAGACGGCGCAGAGCACGCUGCCUACCACCUCCAUGAGCAUGUCCGGCAGCGGCCACGGCUCGGGGCCCGGCUACAGCCACUCGGGACCGGCCUCGCAGAGCAUCCCCCUGCAGGGCCAGGGCGCCAUCAGCAGCUACGUGUCCCGGGCCAACAUCAACAUGCAGUCCAACCCAGUGUCCAUGAUGCACCAGCAGGCAGCCUCGUCCCACUACAGCGCGGCACAGGGCGGGAGCCAGCACUACCAGGGCCAGUCCAUGGCCAUGAUGGGCCAGAGCGGGCAGGCGGGCAGCAUGAUGGGGCAGCGGCCCAUGGCGCCCUACCGGCCCUCCCAGCAAGGCUCGUCCCAGCAGUACCUGGGCCAGGAGGAGUACUACGGCGGCGAGCAGUACGGCCACGGCCAGGCCGCCUCGGAGCCCAUGAGCCAGCAGUACUACCCUGACGGACAUGGCGAUUAUGCCUACCAGCCGGCGUCCUACACGGAGCAGAGCUAUGACCGGUCGUUUGAGGAGUCCACGCAGCACUACUACGAGGGCGGAAACUCACAGUACAGCCAGCAGCAGGCGGGGUACCAGCAGGGCACAGCCCAGCAGCAGACGUACUCCCAGCAGCAGUACCCCAACCAGCAGAGCUACCCCGGGCAGCAGCAAGGCUAUGGGCCUGCCCAGGGCGCCCCCUCGCAGUACUCCAGCUACCAGCAGGGACAAGGCCAGCAGUACGGAAGCUACCGAGCGUCUCAGACGGGCCCGUCCGCCCAGCAGCAGCGGCCUUACGGCUACGAGCAGGCAAGCCUUCUGCCCGUUUCCAGACUCGCAGCCCCCGCGUGCGUCAGACGUGACGAAGGUUUCCCCGGUCGUCAAGAGAAACAAUAACACAGGGUGAACUGGCACCCAAGGUCCCUCCAGAACGUUAAUUCUCUGAGCCUGGCCAGUACGGAAAUUACCAGCAGUAAAGGACAAACAUUCUUAUGGAGGCUUGCAGCGGCAUGUCUGUCUGGGAUGGACAGGCCAGUGACAGUUCUGAUGAGCUGUGACCUGCGGGCUGCCCCUUCACCCCACGCAGCGUCUGCAUGCGAAGCGUGCACGUUUCACGUGGGGUAGGACGCCGAGCGUGCACCGCUGGUGCAAGACAGCGCUUUGAUGGUGUGACAUAUUUGGUGCUGUGUAUAGUAUUGUAUGUCCAUACAACGGAGAGGUUGUCCCUUUUUGUCCGCCUCCCCCCCCCCCCGCAGUGUUUCUAGCUAGCUUUAGGGGUCCUUUUGUCAUCAGAGUGUUCUGUGCCCAGUGAUGGGACAUACCUACAAGAGGCCAUAGUCCACGUACUUGUAUAAACAGACCUUAGGUCUGACACUCCUCAUGCACUGCCGUACCGUGGGUUGUAAACUUGUCUUUCACUGUCCGCACCGCAGCUGGACACGUGUGCACAGCCCCUGGAUGGCAGCCUCUUCCUGUGCCUCGAUGGGGGGGUGGGGGGGGGUGGGAGGCAUCUUCUGUGAUUUGCGUCAGUUUCUGUUACACGAUGGAAAGGAUGACUAAGCCUCAUUUGGAGAUGCUGUGAACCGUUAUUUUCAGAGCUCACUCGUUACCUGUGUCUCUCACCAAUUGUGUUUAUCCAAAAAGUUGUAUGUUUUUGUAUUAAAAAGUAAAGAGGGAUCAAUGACUAUGUUCUAAAUAAAUAGGAAUCCAUGAAGGCAAUGAAUGAUUAGCCUUACCCAGGGAGAGUGGUAUUGCUGAAAGAAAGAGAAGGUAGUCUCUGGAAUUACUUUGGCUUUGGCCCUUGUUUAUCUGAUGGUCAUUUCUGGAAUUUUAAUAUUUAAUAUGCUCAAUUCCAAAGUUAUAAUUUAAAAUAUUGACACCAAAUUUUCCAAACUGUUGGCAAGUUGUUUAUUUUAUACCACUUCUUCCAGGACCUACUUAUUCACAUCUCCAAGAAAGCUUUCCUUUUCUUUUAGGGAUAUCUGAAAUUCACAUCUUAUUUUUAAAAAGAACACCACUGAUUCUACUGUGUUCUUCCUAAUGAGAAGGAAAGCUCUUAUGGAGAGAAAUUUGAGUAAUUUUUACAUUCCUAGGACAUUAAAUGCCAUUUAAAUUCUGUGCAGACAUUAAAGACAGCUCAUGUGGAAAAGUCAGGGCAAAGGAAAAAUUCUACAUUUCACUAAUAAGUCAUAAGGACAUUUUAUCAACUCUUACCUGGAUAACAAUACCCAUAUUUAUUAUGACCGCUUUAAAAACAUCUUUGGAUAAAUGCUGACAUAUUUCCAAGACAACCAAGAAAAUAAAAAUAUAUCCAGUUCUUCAUAUAUCAGGUCUACUGAAGGUGAUGUUUUAUUAAGUCUUAAAUUGAAAGUAGUUCUUUAUCCAGAAUUGAAUACUUUACAGUGUAGAAGACAUCUUCGACGUGUUUUUACUGGAAUGAAUAAUUCCCAGUCCACCCUGGGAAUAUGGUGGCGAUUACUUGUUGCUGUUUUGCAGAUGAAGCACUAAGGCUCAGAGGAAAGAAGGGGCGGGUCGAGUAGAAGUCCUGUUCUAGGACCUUCUCCCCUCCUCUGUGGAGACAGAAUCACACAUGCAUUGGAAUAGAAGUGUUUAUUUUGUAGACAUACGGGUUUUUAGAAACCCUUAACGCUGGUAAGGGCUUAAAAAUACAUCUCUGUAUUAAAUUAUUGAAAUGAGAGUCCUUAACCGCUAAAUGACACACAUUAGUAAUUUCAUUUAGGGAGUCAUUUCCCUUGAUUUUGUCCUGUUCUUUCCUGACAAUUUUCAUAGAAUUUGCAAACUCAGUCGGGGAUUAAAUUUUCCCGUUGAAAAUGUUAAGCAUUUCAGAGAACUGUGAAAAUAGUUUAUUUUUAUUCCUUGCCAAUCUGGGAAUAUGCCUUUUAUGUGUCUGUGUGUGUGUGUUUGUUUGUUUUAAGUGCUGUAUUAAUACUUUUUGAAGGAAAAGGACACUUAAAAAAACUUACCCCGAAACUUCAAUCUGAAAUGUCUUACAUUAAGAAUUUCUUGAAUGUUGUGUAUAUAUUUUUAAAAGCACUUUGUGAAAUAGUUUGUACAUCUAUUUCCUAAUUUAUACAUGAUUGUCGGUGUUCAUAUAUUUAAUGAUUAAUAACAAAAUGUUUAUUUAACGUGCUGUCCGUUUUUAUGUACUAUUGUGGGGAAAGUGACGCCAGCAGCUCGUUUUCGUUCACUGUUUUGUGUCUCCUCUUCCGCAACACGAAUGUCUGCAGACGCUUAGGCCCGAGAGUCGCUCGCGCGGUGCGGUCAGUGCCGCCGAGUUGCCACGGCCGAGCCCCGGGCGGGGCGGGCCUCGAGCGAUGACCGGCGCGGCCCGCGGAGGUGCCGACAGCGCCCAGGCCGCCGGCUGGCCCCGCCGCCUCCGGCCCGAGCAUCCCUCGCGCGCCCGCAGCCGCAGCCGGGCCUCGGCGGUCCGUGCGGGGCGGCCGCUCACACUCGGACCGAGAGGAGGGCGUUUCCGUGUGACUUCCCAGCCCUGACUGACCAGGUCACGCCGUCUCGUCCGUGAGCACAGCCCGUUCCCGGACAACCAUCCUCACCCGUCCGUUUCUCUCCUCAGCCGGACUUUGGCGUCUAAGUUGUUUAUGCCUUUGUUGUAAUUAAUAAACUGGCUCUUCGAGAACCGUCCUGGA